ACGUUUGCCGGUCGCAAGAUCUGGCUCGUUCGUAAUAUAUUAGCAUCUCUAAUUCGGAAUUCGGAUUGACUCAGUGUAAUAGACUAUUCGCUGAGGACACUUGUAAAAGUGGCCGAAAUUUGAUAACAUAGAAGCUUCCAACUUUUGUAGUCAAUUUUAAUUUAGACCUCAGAUCAGGCAGGAUUACCCGCUGAACUUAA
rnacentral:misc_RNA from 1 species